rnacentral:rRNA from 1 species
CAGUAGCCGCGGUAAUACGUAGGUCCCGAGCGUUGUCCGGAUUUAUUGGGCGUAAAGGGAGCGCAGGCGGUUUAGUAAGUCUGAAGUUAAAGGCAUUGGCUCAACCAAUGUAUGCUUUGGAAACUGUUAGACUUGAGUGCAGAAGGGGAGAGUGGAAUUCCAUGUGUAGCGGUGAAAUGCGUAGAUAUAUGGAGGAACACCGGUGGCGAAAGCGGCUCUCUGGUCUGUCACUGACGCUGAGGCUCGAAAGCGUGGGUAGCGAACAGGAUUAGAUACCCCUGUAGUCCCUGUCUCUUAUACA